rnacentral:rRNA from 1 species
AUUGAACGCUGGCGGCAGGCCUAACACAUGCAAGUCGAGCGGAGUGGCGAACGGGUGAGUAACGCGUAAUCAACCUGCCCUUCAGAGGGGGACAACAGUUGGAAACGACUGCUAAUACCGCAUACUAUCAGAUGAGCCUAGGUCGGAUUAGCUAGUUGGUGGGGUAAAGGCCUACCAAGGCGACGAUCCGUAACUGGUCUGAGAGGAUGAUCAGUCACACUGGAACUGAGACACGGUCCAGACUCCUACGGGAGGCAGCAGUGGGGAAUCUUCCGCAAUGUACGAAAGUCUGACGGAGCAACGCCGCGUGAGUGAUGACGGCCUUCGGGUUGUAAAGCUCUGUUAAUCGGGACGCGGUACCGGAAUAGAAAGCCACGGCUAACUACGUGCCAGCAGCCGCGGUAAUAC